rnacentral:rRNA from 1 species
UGGGGGAUAUUGCACAAUGGGCGAAAGCCUGAUGCAGCGACGCCGCGUGGGGGAUGAAGGCCUUCGGGUUGUAAACUUCUUUUGCUCUGAACAAGGCAUGCCUUUGGGGUGUGUUGAGUGUAGGGGUUGAUUAGCGCCGGCUAACUACGUGCCUGCAGCCGCGGUAAUACGUAGGGCGCGAGCGUUGUCCGGAAUUAUUGGGCGUAAAGGGCUUGUAGGUGGCUGGUUGCGUCUGUCGUGAAAGCUCAUGGCUUAACUGUGGGUUUGCGGUGGGUACGGGCUGGCUUGAGUGCAGUAGGGGAGGCUGGAAUUCCUGGUGUAGCGGUGGAAUGCGCAGAUAUCAGGAGGAAUACCGGUGGCGAAGGCGGGUCUCUGGGCUGUUACUGACGCUGAGGAGCGAAAGCGUGGGGAGCGAACAGG